rnacentral:rRNA from 1 species
GACGAACGCUGGCGGCGUGCUUAACACAUGCAAGUCGAACGGAAAGGCCCUGCUUUUGUGGGGUGCUCGAGUGGCGAACGGGUGAAUAACACGUGAGUAACCUACCCUUGACUUUGGGAUAACUUCAGGAAACUGGGGCUAAUACCGGAUAGGAGCUCCUGCUGCAUGGUGGGGGUUGGAAAGUUUCGGCGGUUGGGGAUGGACUCGCGGCUUAUCAGCUUGUUGGUGGGGUAGUGGCUUACCAAGGCUUUGACGGGUAGCCGGCCUGAGAGGGUGACCGGCCACAUUGGGACUGAGAUACGGCCCAGACUCCUACGGGAGGCAGCAGUGGGGAAUAUUGCACAAUGGGCGGAAGCCUGAUGCGGCAACGCCGCGUGCGGGAUGACGGCCUUCGGGUUGUAAACCGCUUUCGCCUGUGACGAAGCGUGAGUGACGGUAAUGGGUAAAGAAGCACCGGCUAACUACGUG